CCAAACGAGCACGCCAUACAGCGAAAGGGAUCAGCCAAGAAAGGUACAUUUACUCUCCUCAUGGUUCUCUCUAUUUAAAGCCAGCUUCGCAUCCACUCUUAUAUUAGCUUCCUGAUGUGGGAUCCCUCCAACAUUAGAGUUUAAAUUCAACACCAACUCUUGCCGCCCCCUGUUAGCAAAAUAAAUGCUCCUUGCUUGCCAUGGGAUUCGAACCCAUGCCUCCCCUCAGAUGCUCC
rnacentral:lncRNA from 1 species